UCCUCUACAUUUUCUAUAAACACACAGCUAUCUGUCAUUCCUCUACCCUCUCUAUAAACACACAUUUAUCUGUCAUUCCUCUACCCUCUCUAUAAAACACACAGCUAUCCUCUCUAUAAAACACACAGCUAUCUGUUAUUCCGCUACCCUCUCUAUGAAACACACAGCUAUCUGUCAUUCCGCUACCCUCUCUAUGAAACACACAGCUAUCUGUCAUUCCGCUACCCUCUCUAUGAAACACACAGCUAUCUGUCAUUCCGUUACCCUCUCUAUGAAACACACAGCUAUCUGUCAUUCCAAAACCCCCUUUAAAUAACACACAGCUAUCUACCAUUCCACUACCCUUGCUAUAAACACAUCUAUUUCUAUAAUACGCAUGUUUUUGUCUAUUCUAUCU